rnacentral:rRNA from 1 species
AACGAACGCUGGCGGCAGGCUUAACACAUGCAAGUCGAGCGCCCCGCAAGGGGAGCGGCAGACGGGUGAGUAACGCGUGGGAAUCUACCUUUUGCUACGGAAUAACUCAGGGAAACUUGUGCUAAUACCGUAUGUGCCCUUCGGGGGAAAGAUUUAUCGGCAAAGGAUGAGCUCGCGUUGGAUUAGCUAGUUGGUGGGGUAAAGGCCUACCAAGGCGACGAUCCAUAGCUGGUCUGAGAGGAUGAUCAGCCACAUUGGGACUGAGACACGGCCCAAACUCCUACGGGAGGCAGCAGUGGGGAAUAUUGGACAAUGGGCGCAAGCCUGAUCCAGCCAUGCCGCGUGAGUGAUGAAGGCCUUAGGGUUGUAAAGCUCUUUCACCGGUGAAGAUAAUGACGGUAACCGGAGAAGAAGCCCCGGCUAACUUCGUGCCAGCAGCCGCCGUAA